UAAGCGGAGGAAAAGAAACCAACAGGGAUUGCCUUAGUAGCGGCGAGUGAAGCGGCAAAAGCUCAAAUUUGAAAUCUGGCGCCUUCGGUGUCCGAGUUGUAAUUUGAAGAUUGUAACCUUGGGGUUGGCUCUUGUCUAUGUUUCUUGGAACAGGACGUCACAGAGGGUGAGAAUCCCGUGCGAUGAGAUGCCCAAUUCUAUGUAAGGUGCUUUCGAAGAGUCGAGUUGUUUGGGAAUGCAGCUCUAAGUGGGUGGUAAAUUCCAUCUAAAGCUAAAUAUUGGCGAGAGACCGAUAGCGAACAAGUACAGUGAUGGAAAGAUGAAAAGAACUUUGAAAAGAGAGUGAAAAAGUACGUGAAAUUGUUGAAAGGGAAGGGUUUGAGAUCAGACUCGAUAUUUUGUGAGCCUUGCCUUCGUGGCGGGGUGACCCGCAGCUUAUCGGGCCAGCAUCGGUUUGGGCGGUAGGAUAAUGGCGUAGGAAUGUGACUUUACUUCGGUGAAGUGUUAUAGCCUGCGUUGAUGCUGCCUGCCUAGACCGAGGACUGCGAUUUUAUCAAGGA
rnacentral:rRNA from 1 species